rnacentral:misc_RNA from 1 species
ACAAGGUUUCCGUAGGUGAACCUGCGGAAGGAUCAUUAAAGCGCCGCCGACGCGGGCCCCUGGCGUCCAGGCUUGAGAUACAGCCUGGGCGGUUCAGGCGGACCCCGGCAGUUGCCCAUUCUUGACUACUGACCCAGUUGCCUCGGCGGGCCGUUCCGCCCGCGGCCGGCCGGAAGCCCCCUAGACCGUCAGGCCUAGGCGGCCCUGGUCUGCGCCCGCCGAAGGACAGUUAAAAAUCUUUAUAUAUUGGCCGUCUGAGCGUAUAAAGCAAAAUCAAUUAAAACUUUCAACAACGGAUCUCUUGGUUCCGGCAUCGAUGAAGAACGCAGCGAAAUGCGAUAAGUAAUGUGAAUUGCAGAAUUCCGUGAAUCAUCGAAUCUUUGAACGCACAUUGCGCCCUCUGGUAUUCCGGAGGGCAUGCCUGUUCGAGCGUCAUUGCAACCCUCAAGCCCGGCUUGUGUGAUGGGCGAACGUCCCUCCCCCUAGGGGGCGGGACGCGUCCGAAAGGCAGUGGCUAGGCCGCGAUUCCGGCGCCUGAGCGAAUGGGACUUCCACCGCUUCUAGGACCGGCCGGUACCUUUGGCCUUAUAACCAACAGGGUCCUAACAGACUCUUUCUAGGUUGACCUCGGAUCAGGUAGGGAUACCCGCUGAACUUAAGCAUAUCAAUAAGCGGAGGAA